GUGAAGUUUUCGGAGGAAUCCUAGCCAAAUCAGGGACUUUAAAGACAGAUUCAUGUGUGGGGGUGCAGAGAAAAGGAAAGCAGCUGAUUUAGAGGGCACACCUAUUAUGAAAAUACUCCAGAAAUGCUUGACAGUGAUUUCUUCCCUGGUUUCCAAACCCCCCCCACCAGUGUUUCUACUUCAUUCUCCGCUGUCGUCCUUCCUUCUUCCUUCCCUCCCUUCCUCGUCGUGGAGGCGAGGUACGUGGAGAAAGCCCUCUUUUCUGCCAUGACUGAGACUUGGUGAUAGCCAUCAUGCAAAGUAUUGAACACUGACAGGAGUGUAGUGCAUGUAAAUUGAGACGCCUACUGUUGCUUUCCUAUGGAAGACAAAUGUUGAGCGGAAAUGUUGGACGUGUGUGUGUGGGAAGGGAGCUGAUGAUGGGCCAGCCUGCAGCGCUGAAGAUUUGCAAAAGGCCAGAUUGGCACACACACGCACAUCUGGCUCCUCACUAGACAAGCAUUUGUCCACCCUGAUUGGCCGAUUGAUUAAACAUCCAACACUGA